rnacentral:rRNA from 1 species
UACGUAGGCAGCAAGCGUUGUUCGGAAUUACUGGGCGUAAAGAGUGUGUAGGCGGUGCUCUAAGUUUGGUGUGAAAUCUCCCGGCUCAACUGGGAGGGUGCGCCGGAUACUGAGGGGCUAGAGUGUGGGAGAGGAAAGUGGAAUUCCUGGUGUAGCGGUGAAAUGCGUAGAUAUCAGGAGGAACACCGGUGGUGUAAACGGCUUUCUGGGCCAUAACUGACGCUGAGGCACGAAAGCGUGGGUAGCAAACAGG